rnacentral:rRNA from 1 species
UACGGAGGGUGCAAGCGUGAUCCGGAUUCACUGGGUUUAAAGGGUGCGUAGGUGGGCAAGUAAGUCAGUGGUGAAAUCUCCGGGCUUAACCCGGAAACUGCCAUUGAUACUAUUUGUCUUGAAUACUGUGGAGGUCAGCGGAAUAUGUCAUGUAGCGGUGAAAUGCUUAGAUAUGACAUAGAACACCAAUUGCGAAGGCAGCUGGCUACACAAAUAUUGACACUGAGGCACGAAAGCGUGGGGAUCAAACAGG